CCAUCUUAAGCUUAUAGAAAGUUUGCCAUUUCUUUAUUAAAUCAUAUUUGUUGUGCAACUCAGGCUUGAAAUUACUGAUCUGGGCAAAUCCUUUUCGCCUCACACAAGUUUUGGAAGAGAUUCGGUCAGAAAAGCGUCAUAAUGAUACUGGGUGAUUACACAGGCCUAGAAAUGAGGGUUGAUUAAUGUGGGAAAUACCUGGGUGUGUGUUUGUAAAGCUCUGAUGGAGGGAAAGUUAUUGAUUCAUUGAAUGGCAGAUUUGAGAAAUAAUAGUCUUAAAACUUAGGAAAUUGUGGAAGAAACAUAGAGUGUUUCUAAUUAAACCUGAAACACUGUUUUGUUGGUAUUUAGCAAAAUCCCAAAGCCCAUGAGCUCAGUAGCGUCUUGGUGACAACACUUAGGGCAAAUAGGAGAAUAGCACAUAUUUUAUUAUUAUUAUUAUCUUUCUGGCAAACUCUUGAUUUCCCAGAUGUAGGAGAGCUGGUGUCUGACAGCGUUUGGCCUUUUUUGCCCUGAAUUUAUGGUCGCUCUUUAAACCCAUAUACAUAUCCGUGACGGGGAAACCUUUCUGCAGCGAAGACCUUCGCCGCUCCUUCUGUGUCUUGGUCGUAUAUUGACCCGGCUUUCGGCAAUUUCCUACAUUACCGGAAUUUCUCUUUCUACACUUUCUUCUGAUUCUAUUUUCGUGUUUGGUCAGGGUGGAUGUACCUUCUACUCGCAGAUGAUGUGCUCUCAUAUUUCCAAAAUACAAAAUGGAAGAUACAGAACAGCUCAUAAUAGGCCGUACCUGAGCAAUCAUCCUGUAUUUUUCCUUGUUCCAAUUAAUGUUUCUAAUCGGUUUCCUUCAUUUUGUGGAAAUGCGCUCCACGUUUUGUGGCUUCUUUGCUCCUUCCAGGCUGCAAAAUCUGGGAGGCAGGAACCAAGUAAGUUGUCACUGUUGGAAACACUAAGUUAUUGUUGUCAUUUUUGUUUUAAACCCACUGAAAUAGUUUAUAAGGAUUUUUUAUUCUGGUGGUAGCACCUGUGUGGGUGCACAAAGCUCAUGAUAGUUUAAUGUCGUCACUUAAUUCGCUUUUGAGACUUUGGGCGUUUCUGCCGAAGACUGUGUAGGAAAUACAUCAAAAGUAGGUUCACAGAAUAAAUAAUACACUGAAUUUUGCUCUUUGCUCCCUACUUGAGUUGGGUUGAUUCAUCUCUGUCUCUAGCAACACAUGAAUUAACCCCAAUAUGCUUUUUCUACACCUGUUAGCUUCCAACCACUCUUCAAGGUGUUAGUGAGGACUUUUCCAACUGAUCACACGUUGGCUUUAUUUUGGUCAGAUUAAGUAUUUUUAAUGUGUUUUCUCCUGUCCCUAAUGAACCCAAACUUUUCAUCCUACGCCCCAUCUGAUGCUGCGCAUGGUAUUUGAUGUGACCUGUGGGGUGUCCUGUGCAGGGGCAGGACUUGGACUCUAUGACCCUUGUGGGUCCCUUCCAGCUCAGGACAUUGGGUGGUUCUAUGAUUUCUACAGAGAUCUUGCCUUCAAGAUCUCUCUUCCCUUCAUCCUAGACUGUCACCUUGAGCCUUUUUGCCGGCUUUUGUCAAGAUGAGAAGCCUCCUGUUGUGUUUAAGGGCGUCCUGUUUUGCAAGGGGCUAAAAGAUGCAUUAUUUUUAUUAGAGGGCAUCUGUGCGUUUCCCCAGGUAAUGGUAUAUUCGUGAAUCAGAGCUUUCAGUGGACAGCAGCAUAGCUCAAAAAGGAAAGGAACGGAAGAGGUAGCCAGAAUGCUUCCCAAUGAAUCCAUGGACUCACCUCCCAGGGACUAUGGUAUAUACUCGUAGAGCCACAUCAUAUCAAAAUAGACUUGAGGUCAGAGAUGAUUUUCCUGUUCUGGGUUUGUAAAAAAGUCUAGAACAGUGAGGUCUUGUUGCCCCGUGUAGGUUAAUAAUAAUAAUAAAGAUAACUGGAAAAUCACAGCAGGGCUUAGCGGAGGCCAAAGAGAAUGAGGAACGCAAAGAUUUGCUUCUUAAUAUGUACUAAAGAUCUAAGGAAAGACGGAACAAUAUGGAGGAAAUUACAGAGGUACAUUAUCAUUUCUUGAUUACAUUUCUCAUCCUCUUUGUGGUACGUACAGGAGGAAAGUAAAUAAUACAAUUGAAAGAGUGGAUGCUCAAAACUAAGGUGUGGAAAUGCUCUUCUGAGCACACAGUUAUAUUAGGGCACUUGGAAAAAUGUAAGAAAAAGGAAGCAGAAAUGUAACACGUAGAGAUAGCCGGGAAGAUCAUGGUUACAAUGAUGGAGAGUAUCUCCAGAAAGAAAACAACAAAACCAAAUCAAUCAAUGAGCCAACCGAAAAAAAAACAUAACAACAAAAAAGCCACAAACCAAAAAACUUAAAUUUUGACUUUAAUUUCUUUGUGGUCCCGCGAAGCCAACUCAGAUAAUGCCGUUGGAAACUCUUGUGCUGGAGUUCUGCUAAAACAGCUGGAAAUGGGCCAGGAGCUCGGGUGGAGGAUGUGAGCUGCAUCUCUGCUCCAUCCAUGAACUUGGAAGCGGAACAAAGUAAAUGUUGGUGGAGUCAGAGCGCCAGGACCAGGGAAUCUCCCCUUGGUGUCUGCACAUCACGCAGAGAAUUAGCAGAAGUCAGUCAAAACACAUCAGUGCUAAAUAUGUGCCAAAUUUGGGGAAAUAGAUGGGUCUGUUCUCAGUGAUGUUGUUAAUCCCGCACUCCCCUUAAUGGUCGUUGCUUAAAAGCUUCAACUGCUCAACCAUCCAGCGUAAACUUCCAGUAAGCACGGCUGGUUAUUUGAAAUUAGACUCGCCGAAUUAAAGACUAGAAGCAUCCGAACCCGCGGUGUGGAUGACUCAGAUGAGAACAACAGUAGCAUUGCGUGUGACACGCUGUUCGAUAAAUUAGCCAAUUAAUCCUGCCAAAUAACGGGGCUGACUGCAAACCUCCCACCGUCGGGCUGAGACGAGGAGCAGCGUUGCCGCAAGUGCUGCCGUCAGCUGCGGGUACAACCAGAUGGUCUCCAAGAAGUCUAAACUGUCAUCACCUGCAGCGUUUGGAGAAAAAGGGUCUUGUGCCUAAUGAGAAGACUCUUAACGGUGAUUUUUUCCUGGGUGUUGAGAAUAUUUUUAAAGUAUAUUACUCUUGGGUACUAAUGGUAUGAAAACUUAGGGUGGAAGGGACUGGCUCACCAUGGUGUCAUGGAGGCACCCCAAGGUUAGUUUAAGGGACAACAGGGUCCAAACCAACUUUUAUUAAAGCGGUGAGAAACCAGGUUUUAGCACUCCAAAAGUGACUUGAAUACAGGUUCGGAUAUCAGUUGAGGAAAAUUAUUAAGGAGCAACAACUAAUACAACAGGAGUUUCACAGUGUGCAUGCAUGUGGCUUCACCAAAACAAUGCCGGAGCCAUCUCGUGAGUCCCGGAGGAGUCCACACUUGCCUGAACAUGGUGUGGGAUUAUUUUAAAGGGAUACACAUACUCGUAGUGAGUACGGAAAGUGUACACUCACAGACCUGCGAGGGUAAAUUUAUAAUACACUCGCAAUCCUGCAAGGAGAAAUACACAUGCAAAUGUGCACGGAAUAUUACACGUGCUUAUGUGGAAGCACGGGAAGAAAAUACACCCGUGAUUAUGCGAGGAUUAAUUUAUACACGUGCUCGUAUUGAGCGUGUGAAGUACGCGUGCAAAUGUGCACGGAAAGUAUAAAUACACGUGCAAAUGUGCACAGAAAGCAGAUACACUCGCAAUGCUGUGAGGGUUAAUUUACUCACACCCGUGGCGGCGAGGCAAGCGCAGUCUCCGUCCCGGGGAGGGGAGGAGGUGGUGGCUCCGGACAGCCGCGGCUCGGCUCCUAACUCCAAGAGAUCCGCACCAGGGACAGAGUCUCGACGAGAAUCCCAUUUUAUAGCCUGACCAGAUCUGACUGUGGGCAUUCCAGAAGCUUCUCUGCACCCCCACCCUGGCUGUGGGUGCCCCUGAAGCCUCCAAACAUCCCCCACACUGGCCACGGGCGCCCAGCGGCUCCAGUGUGCCUUGGCGCUCCCUUCUCCUAACGGCCCUGGCCAGUGGCCCUGGGGUCAAACAAAAGAAGCUGUCAGCCUCAAACAGCAGAGAGAGGGAGAUGUGUCUACUCCUUCCACAUCGAAGGAGGGAGGGGGAGAGAGGGGGGUUUGCAUUCUGCCACACAUGGGUCAAGCAGGAAACUUCUUGUACCAUGUCUUUGUGCCAAGAAAGAUAUUUCAUCUCUCGUAUGAGACUGGAUGUGUCCCAUGAAGCUGGGACCAGCACGCUAGCGUCGCCGAGCCUGGAGGGAAGUAUUUUGUGCCGAGAAAAUGGUCUUGGAUGCUAAAAACUGCAGAAAGCUUGGCCAUGACUUGGUUGCAACGUCCCUGAUCAAGAAGUGCAACCUCCAAACUCUUCCUUUCGCAGGUUCUCUGUGGCUUCCAGUGCCACGUGCUCCAUUAAAUGGGUGUUUAAAGAUGUUCUGACAAGGCACCCAAGUUGCAUCUGUUUCCUUCCAUCAGCAUCAGCUCCCACGUGGUUCCACGGAAGAUCACGAGUCGGCUUGGAUUAGCUGAGAAGAACUCCAGAUUUCUUGUGUCUUGUCCGUCUUGAGCCAAAUUUCACGCUAGAUUCAGAUACACAGUGCAAAGUUUGAUGAAGGCAUCUAAACUGUAUUAAUGUAGCUCCUUUUGGUGCUUCUCAGAGUUGCUCAAUACCAGCGGGUAUAUUGAAUGGAUUCAGAAAUAGCUACUGAAAUAGUUCUGGCUCAGAAGAACCAACUAACAGGCUUCUAUGAUGCUCUUCUACAGGAAUUGAGGCUAUUUCUGAUCUUUCAAUGCCUCCCUGUAUUAAAAAACUGAUAACCCCCUGUAAUUUUUUACUUUGCCCCCUACAUGGGGCGAUAUUUGCUAUAGAAGUGGGUUGUCUUGAUUCUUCCUUGAGCUUUUCUGCCCCCCAGCAGAAGAGGCUGGGGCCUGCUGCACCGUGACCAUCUGCUGGUGUCUUCUGCCUCACUGGGGAAUUUAAUACUUAAUAACCUAAAAUAGUGUAUGACUGCUUUACCUUAAUGUAGGCACUGAAGCAAGAAAGAAAGCAAAGCGCAGGCACCAAGUCAAAGACCUGAUGGUCAAUCCGUAGGGUGUCUUGGAGGAGGAAAAUUCCUUUAGGUUUUAGGUAAUUUGGGAUAUGAUCCAAGAGGAUUGGAGUAGUUUUAACAGUGUCUUUGCAAGCGGUUUGUGUUGCUCUGUCAUCAGUUCUCUUAGAUGUUGGUGUCCUACGGAACUGUUGCUUCUUUUUGUCGUAAAGUCCACGUGGACACGCACGGACAUCCUGGUGUAGAAGAUCCAUCCUGCUCUGGGCUGUCCCCAGGGUCUCACUUGACCGGUGGUGGCACAAUCUAUGGAUAUGAAUCCCAAAAUUUGAGUAUUCCCCAAAAUUUGGCUCUUGCUCUCUGACCCGCUUUGAGGAGCGGCUGUUCCCCUCCUCUUGGAGACAUUUGUCCCCUGUGAAGUUUGUGGAGAAAAGACUUGGCUUCUUGUCACUCCUAAAAAAUCUGGAAUAAUCAAGCCCUACGGUUGCAGGACAAGGAGCUGAGAAGCUCCAUCCCCACUGCAGGCUGAUGUUUGGGUAUCUGGUUCCUCUUAAAUACUGGGGUGGAGACGCUGGUGUUGGCCAAACAAAACAGAGAUAUUAUAUUUGGACCACAGUCAAACAGAUCCUGAGAUGGUUGCGUUUCCUGGGCCCGUCCCAAAAGGCGAAGCUUUUGCCUUGCUCAAACUGCCCAGCAGCAUCCCAGGACCUUCCUUCUUGGUUUGGGUUGAAUAAAGCAGUUUAUGGGGCUUGCAGGAGCCCCGCGAGGCCUGUUGGGCCACCUUCAGCACACCAAGGUCUUAGCGGUUGCGUUGGCUUUGUCUCGUGGGCUCUUUUUGCUUAUUGACACAGUUUGGGCCUAUAAGAUUCCAGAACCUUUAGUUUAGGUUAAAUUCACCUACAACUUCAUAGGGGAAACAUUUCCAUAUUUUUUUUUGGAAACUCAUCAUUUACCAGCAAGCAGUGCCCGUAUUUCCGUGUCUUUGAUGUUCACUGCUUUUGGCUCGAGCUGCUCUUUCUGGUGGCCACACAGGAGGACGUGUCCACACUUUUAUCUGCACCCAUCCCACCAUUCGGGUUUUUGGUUGCAAUCCGCUGCGCCUCCUACACGUCCCUUUGUAUUCCCAACCAGAAGUUGUUUAUGAUGAGGAUGGUGAACUGGCCCAGGUUGCCCAGAGAGGUACUGGAUGCCCCAUCCCUGGAGACAUCCCAGGCCAGGCUGGAUGGGGCUCAUGAAGUUGAGGCAAACAUCUCUGCAAAUCUUUAACUCUGUUUUUCUCCCCAAAGUAUGUUCGUCUCCUGAGGUUUUUCUCAAGGCCAGGGAGCCCACGGCUGCGUGAGUGUUACUGCAUUGUUUGGAGCCCCAUUCCUCUCUCUCAGGACAUGACCGUGUCUGAAAAACAUCUCUAGGCAAUCAGGAAACUGCCCUUUAAUCUUACACCUCCACACAAACAAAUAAUUCACCGUGGCCCUGGGAAGCAUUGACUUCUCCACAGUGACCAGGAGAUGUGCAGGAAUUAAUUUUCAGGUUCCCUUUGGAGCUGAUGCUCAAGCUCCUGUGUAGUGACAAAGAUGCUGGAGGGAGUGGAGCAUCUCCCGUGUGAGGAAAGACUGAGGGAGCUGGGGCUCUGGAGCUGGACAAGAGGAGACUGAGGGGGGACUCAUUCCUGGGGAUCAAUAUGGAAAGGGGGAGUGUCAGGAGGAUGGAGCCAGGCUCUUCUGGUGACAACCAGUGACAGGACAAGGGGCAAUGGGUGCAAACUGGAACACAGGAGGUUCCACUGAAAUCUGAGAAGAAACUUGUUUGGGGUGAGGGUGGCAGAGCCUGGCCCAGGCUGCCCAGGGGGGUUGUGGAGUCUCCUUCUGUGCAGACAUUCCAACCCGCCUGGACACCUUCCUGUGUAACCUCAUCUGGGUGUUCCUGCUCCAUGGGGGGAUUGCACUGGAUGAGCUUUCCAGGGCCCUUCCAGCCCUGACAUUAUUCUGGGAUUCUGUGUAGUGACAGCGUGAACAAGUCCCGCAAUUUUGAUUCACUAGUAGCUUAUUUUUCCAUGGGAUGAGUCACGCCGGCCCCCGUUCCCUCGCAAUCCCGCCCGGCACGUGUGAUUCACCCGGGUGGCAACACGCGUUGAGUUUCGUGCAAGAGCUCGGCCCUGGGACAGGAGGUGACAUUGGCGGCUGGAUGUCACGUGUAACGAGCUCAGAGCAGAGCGCGAUGCGCUGGAGGAUCCCGGGAAGGCGAUUUCUCCGCAGCCCACGCGCGGGAUGAGUCACAGAACACACUGAGUCAGGGAGGGGGACAUCGUUACUUAUAGAACAGCCGUGGAUUCGGGGUUUUGUUUUAAUUCUUGCUCUGUAAACAAGCGCACCUCGAAUGAAGGAUGGAGUCUGCGUGUUUGCACAACUUGCAGUCUGUUUACUGCCAGGGGGUAGGAGCAAGGAAAAGGAAGGUGGUAUAAAUAACCGAGUCUUUUACAUAGUCUAGUCAAUAUUUGCAUAUGUAUUUUUCAAUGUAGCUGAGCUAUCUGCUGCUCCACACGUGUUAAAUCAGCUACGCUGAGCACGUUUCUCUCACUCUCCUCGCGCUUUGUACGUACCCGUGUCCUUUGCACAGAGACUCCGUGCCGGUUGCACAACGCUGUUGUUCACCCGGCGGUUAGGCCGGGGUCGUUUCAGCGAGACUCGUCACACGGGUGGAUGUAAACACGUCCCCGUGGCCCAGCGCUCUGCCAGGAUCGGGUGUUUCACGGGGAACUCCCUGCUCGACGCUUCUCCCCGCGGGAGCCGGAGUAACCCCAGGCCACAAAUCCCACAUGUAUUUACCACCUCGAUGGAAACGCUGCGGCAGCCAGGAGCUGAGCUGACAGGUCGCCCCAUGCCAAGGACUCGCUGAUCUUAUCUCUUCCAACCAAAACAAUUCUAUUAAAUUAAAACGCACCCUCACGUCCUGCUUCAUUGUACGGAAAGAUUUGUUCGUAGCUGCCGCGCUGCAGCGCUGGCUGAGCGCUGCAGCCGCCUCCUUUGAAAUAGAUGGAAAUAUUUUAGAAUAUUCAGUUACUCUAAGUAUUUAAUAAGUGACUUAUCUGUGCAAAAUGAUACAAAACUGACACCUAUUUGCACAGAAAGCACCUUGCGCCUUCGGGUCGCAUCUCAUAUUUAAUCAUCUUCCUGUUUCAGGGACGUGUUUGAAGCUGUCGGGUUAAUUUUCCAACAGCAAAGGAAAACUCUUCUCCCUUCGUUCUGGAACCUUGCGAAGGAACGUGGUGGCUUCAGGGCGCCUCAUCCAUCUGAAAAUGGCCAUUUGAAACAAAAAGUGCAGCACGUGGCGGUCCCUCGCACCUAAGGGACGGUGAUCGGCAGCUUCAUUAUAAAGUCAGGAUAGUCCAGCAGACUUCUGAACUUGAGAGAUCUCUGAGUUCGGAGCUUUUGAAUUGCAAACUAAACCGUGGAUUACUGCAACACGCCCCGAUAAAACCUGCAUGAUUUCAAAGCUGCCUUGCUGGUCAUCUCCGGAGGAUGAUAUUUUACUAUCUAAAAAUACUUGGGGUUGUUUUAAUGUGGCGGUUCCCUUUUUAGGAAGGGCUUCCUGAAUGCGCACAUUUCAGCAUCCCUUUUAACAGCCAAAGUUUUGGCUUCCUUGGGCUAAAUUUAAGCUUUGUCCAUUGGAAGCUAUCAGGUGCUUUUAAAGCAAGGCUAUUAAUAAUUGAA